rnacentral:rRNA from 1 species
AUGUUCAUCAGGAAAUAUCUUGGUGAGAUUGAGUACUGUAGUAAGCCGGUGCAACUUGGGCGAGCUCCAUCGAGUGCUGCAACUGAACCAGUAAGGUGGAUCAGACCGGAUGCUGGUACAGCCAAGAUCAAUGUGGAUGGUGCCACAGCAAAGACAAUAGAGAAGGGGGCAGUGGCAGCGGUGUGCAGAGAUGAGGAGGGUCGGUUCCUUGGAGCAUCUGCAUUGUUGCUAGCGGGUGUUUCGGACCCCCCAACACUGGAAGCUCAUGCAUGCGGGGAGGCAUUGUCUUUGGCUGAGGACCUGCACGUACAUAAAAUUAAUGUUGCAACAGACUGUCCGAGAGUCAUGAAUGAGCUUCAAGCUUUGGUUUUCUUAGGUCCCUACUGCAUGACUUUAAGGGACGUUAGAGAUAGAGUUGCAAACUUUCAGUCUUGUUCAUUUAAGUUUGAGUAG